UCAAAUCCGUUCAUCAAUCCGAAGGCGUGAUGCGGACCGAAUUAAGAGUAGGGAAGUGUGUGAGCCAUGCGUCAAGAAAAGCCGCUAUUGUUUUACUUAAGCCCGUACCGUAAACCGACACAGGUGGAUGAGGAGAGAAUCCUAAGGCCGACGGGAGAAGCAUUGUUAAGGAACUCGGCAAAAUGACUCCGUAACUUCGGGAGAAGGAGUGCCAGCGAGAGCUGGCCGCAGAGAAUUGGCCCAAGCAACUGUUUAGCAAAAACACAGGUCUAUGCAAAACCGUAAGGUGAAGUAUAUGGGCUGACGCCUGCCCGGUGCUGGAAGGUUAAGAGGAGAGGUUAGCGGUAACGCGAAGCUUUGAAUUUAAGCCCCAGUAAACGGCGGCCGUAACGAUAACGGUCCUAAGGUAGCGAAAUUCCUUGUCGGGUAAGUUCCGACCCGCACGAAAGGCGUAAUGAUUUGGGCACUGUCUCAACAAUGCACCCGGUGAAAUUGAAAUACCAGUGAAGAUGCUGGUUACCUGCGCCAGGACGGAAAGACCCCAUGGAGCUUUACUCCAGCUUGAUACUGGGAUUCGGUAUUGCAUGUACAGGAUAGGUGGGAGGCUAGGAAGUGAUAACGCCAGUUGUCACGGAGCCGCUGUUGGGAUACCACCCUUGCAGUAUUGGAUUUCUAACCAGCGACCAUGAACUGGUCGGGGGACAAUGUCAGGUGGGGAGUUUGACUGGGGCGGUCGCCUCCGAAAGGGUAUCGGAGGCGCUCAAAGGUUCCCUCAGAAUGGACGGAAACCAUUCGAAGAGUGCAAAGGCAGAAGGGAGCUUGACUGCGACACCGACGGGUGGAGCAGGUACGAAAGUAGGACUUAGUGAUCCGGUGGUAUAAAGUGGGAUUGCCAUCGCUCAACGGAUAAAAGCUACCCUGGGAUAACAGGCUUAUCACUCCCAAGAGUUCACAUCGACGGAGUGGUUUGGCACCUCGAUGUCGGCUCAUCGCAUCCUGGGGCUGAAGUAGGUCCCAAGGGUUGGGCUGUUCGCCCAUUAAAGCGGUACGCGAGCUGGGUUCAGAACGUCGUGAGACAGUUCGGUCCCUAUCCGGCGUGGGCGUAGGAUAUUUGAGAGGAGCUGUCCUUAGUACGAGAGGACCGGGAUGGACUGGCCGCUGGUGUAUCUGUUGCAUACCAAAUGCAUGGCAGAGUAGCCAAGCCGGGACGGGAUAAACGCUGAAGGCAUCUAAGCGUGAAGCCCCCCUCAAGAUGAGAUAUCCCUACGUAAGUAGUAAGACCCCUUGAAGACGACAAGGUAGAUAGGUCAGAGGUGGAAGUACAGUAAUGUAUGGAGCUGACUGAUACUAAUCGGUCGAGGGCAUGACU
rnacentral:rRNA from 1 species